rnacentral:lncRNA from 1 species
AAAGAAACCAAGCACUUUAACUGGUGGAACGUCUCAACAAAUAUGAUAAUUUUAAUUAAUGCAACAUAUAUUUUGUAUCUAAAUCUUAUGUAUGAUAACUUCAGAACUCUGUAUUUUAUGAAAACGUAUCAAUCCUCGAACAAUAUUCAACUGUAUGUUACUAGAAAUAUAAAAGCAACGCGGAGGACAUGGCCUCAAUCUCUUACCAAAUCAUUCACAUGCCAAUCUCAAGUUUUGCAAAUUGAUUAUAUACUAAUCAAGAUGAUUUGAAACUAACCUUUUAACUUACUACCAAAAUAAGUAGAUUCUUUUACUUACGAAAAAUGAAACCUAUUCAAACGUGCAUGGAAACAAAAAAUUACUCAAAACACCACCACCUCCACCCCCAUGUCCAUCCUGCUGUCCCGCCCGAGCCAAAACAUCAGUACUACAAUUUGCAGGCAAGCAACUCCACAAAAAUGUACACUACCCACAUACACAGACAAGGAGGGAGAGAGGGAGAGAGAGAGAUUUACUUGCAAAGGAAAAGAUGCGGAUGUAGCCAAAAAUGGUGAACUCUGUUUUGCUUUAACAUGGAUCGAAAUUUGGCUUCCUUUAUCCCUGUCAAUUGCAACCGCAAUCAACCUAGGCAUUGAAGACAUUCCAUGUUUGAUUUGUGGAGGCCACACCAUAUCUCAUUGCACUUCCCAGACCCAGAUAAAUAACAAAAAUUGCAUCCUCACGGCUAUAUUAAGAAUCAAGCUCAAGUUCACAGAAGAAUAAGUUAUGGUGUACAAGCACCACUCUUUCGGGCACUUUCGAUUGGAAAAAAUUUACAUGUUAAAAUCAUAUAAUCAAUCGAAAGCAAUUUUGACAAUUGGCAAACAUAAUAGCUCUCAAAAAUUUACCCCUAUAACAUAUAACUUCAUACGAUAUUUCAUUAGUUUCAAACUCCACAUCUCAAAAGCUCGUCCAAUGAAACACAAACCCGAAUGUCCAGAAUUUUCAAGUACCUAUUAUAGCAUGUCCUACAAUUUCUUCAAAUCCUUUCGAUUACACCCCGGCUAUUCCAUGAGAAAAAAGAUUCUAGAAAAAAGCCACUAACUCAUGAGAUGUGCAUUCAUACAGCUUCAACAUGAACAAUUUUUCUAAUAAAACCAACAGCUCUACAUUUUUAUAGCAUUGAAUGGUUGAAGCCCGGUUAUAGACAAAAAUCUCAUUUUCUUUAACAAAGUCUCUGAAUUUAGACAAAAAUCUGAAUUAAUCAUUUUUAUAGGGAAUAAUAUAUAAAUUCUACUGUACAUGAACCACAUUUUCAAAAUUAACAAAUUCUCUAUAAACUUUCAUACAUCAACACCGCAGAAUUCCCCUCCAUUAGUAAAUCGGACAAUCUAAAAGCAUCGCUCUAGGGUUUCUUUUCAGGGUUUCAUAAAUUUUAUCUUUCCAAACUAUACGAUUUGCUUCAAAUCCGUAGAAAUAUGUAUGGAUUCGAAGCGCUGACCUUCAACAUUCACGAAGGGUACUUGGAGGCGAUUGUACGAGGCCAUCGAUCUGGACUCCUUACUGCCUCCGACUACAACAACCUCUGCCAAUGUGAAACCCUCGAGGAUAUCAAGAUGCAUCUCUCAGCCACUGAGUAUGGCCCCUACCUCCAAAAUGGUUAGUCUAUUCUAAUUUUUAGUUCCAAGCUUUUUGGAUUUGAAUUGUGUUCUGAAGCCGUUGAGGGAAUUAAGCAUUUGAAAAAAAUGAUGAAAGUCUGCAUUUUGGAGUUCGAUCCAACGUGAUUUUGUAAUUAUUUGGUAAAAUCAACGUGAGUUUAGGGGAGCGAAGAAAGGAAGAAGAGAGGAGAGAGGCGUGAAUUAUU